ensembl:lncRNA
CAGUGAGCUUCCGGCAAUUCAUCAAGAACAACAAUUCAGGUUUUCCUACCCCAUACUGGUUUCCACAGAGGUUUCAGCUCAUGUGCACCUACUCUGGUAACCUGCGCGUCUCUGUGUUCACCUGUUGGUCUCUCCAAUUUGGCAAGGCAGCAGUUUGCCCCGUGACUUCACUUCUACAAAGCUAAGAAAAGUUGCUGAUAUUUCUGUUUGUUUAGCUUUUCACUUGUCAUUAGAAUGGAGUGGUGACUUCGAAGCUCCUUACAUGAGGAAUUUAUGUAAAGCACGCAGCAGCAAAUGCCUUAUAAACUGCAGGGUGCCGAUGAUAGCUGUAACACAACCGUUUCAUUCAGCAAAAUAGGAAAUAAAGUGAAGUGGGUGACUGGAGCAGAUACAACAUAGAGUAAGGACCAAGCAUUACUCACGCUCUUCAAAUGAUCAAAAUUACACAGGUCUCCUCAUGUCUGGGGGCAAAGUAAUCCGUGAAAGAAAAGUUGCUGAAUGUAAAGUUGGCAGGAGUGGUUCACAGGAGAGAAACAGGAAUUCAUUAUGCUCUCCAUCUUAAAGACACAAACUCACUCGACUGAGGGACACCUGUGUAUUAGGUCCAGUGCACCUGCAAAGAGGGGCCCUGGGAGUCCCUCCAGGACCACACAGCACACUCUCAACUCAGCCAGUGGAACUCAAGGCUGGUUCAGAUCUCUGUACUGGGCAACGGAGCCAGCACCCAGGGUGGAACACAGCUCAUCCUACAGAUGAGAACAUCCACGGGACAUCAGACUUCUUUGCUCUUCAGCCUGAGAGGGAGGACCACUGAAUAACAUCAAAGAGAUGUCUUCUUGGAAGAUGCUCCAUCUCCUUUGGGUGCGGCAGGUGUAAAGGUGAGAAUUUCCCUGACCUACACAAUGCCUCUCGUUUCUCAAACAGAAGUCGCCACCCGAGCCUGAAACUGCCUGUGAGCAGUGCCCUCAUGCACUUACUCCGAAGGGCAGCACCACUACCCCCUGGGCAAGGAAGGGCUCCGCAUGGAGACAAAUGCUGUGUGGCAUCUUCCUUCUCAUAAGGCAGUCUCUAAAUUCCCAGCAGUCCUAAAGCACAGGCCAUAAGGUCUCAAAGGUCCCUGCGGCUCAAGGCGAACACCACGCCCAUGGCAGAUCUUUCCUGCCCCUCAGCCCAAGCUCUAGGCCUGUGCCCAGAAGUCUCAGCCCUUGUAAGCUUUCCCUGGAGCCUAAAACCACAGGAUAUUUCAGGCUCCCUGGAUGGAGAUCAAUAGAGCCUGCCAAAGAGGACGCCAUUGCUCCAAACCACAGCUAUGAAGACAGACCUGGGAUAAAUGAUUUCAUCUUCUGCUGGGGAAAUAAGCUUAAGGGCAGGAACCAAUCACCAGCCAACCUGAGCGCCUUCAGAAGCCAUCUACCACCUUGGGUACCCAAGUGCACUCAACCAAGUGCCAACCCCAAGAGGAGUUCCCCAUCCAAAACCUUCCAUAGUUCAGUACAUUCGAGAUGCACUCCCGGCUCCAGCCUCUUCCUGGAGAUUCAUAGUGCGUACAAGCACAUUGAAGCCUCUGAGAAGUCAUAAAGUAAAUAAAUCAUCUGCUUUGGCAAAUUUCUUUUGAUGUGAGCAUCUCUUUGCCUGUGGAGGAUGAAUAGAGAAUUUAUUAAGAAUGUGAUACAUUUCUGUGGCUAUGGAAGUGUCAAGUAAAAGAGGGCUAUGCCCCCCAUGCUAGACUUUUGUGUUCUUGGGACUUUCCUUGUGCCUAUAGGUCAAGUUAAAAUAUUUUAAUCUUUAAAAAAAUUAAUUGAUCCAAGAAGUGGAAAGGGCGGUGGGGUUUUGAGGAGAGAGGGCUGAAGCAGCUGGCCGUGGGGAAAAGAGAUCUUCCAAACAGAAAGGGUCCCAUGAUUUAGGGUUUCUGUACUGAAGAGGCACAGGUCCUCAGUGAGGGGAUGGCAGACAUACAGGGAUGGGGCCUGUGCUUCUGUUGCUAAACCUCAGGCUAGAGCCAAAUGGCCAAGUCUGGCUGGAAACAGGAAGUUACCCACCACCACCACCACGGGGCCCAUGCCUGCUUGGAAACUGAGCACAGCAGUGGGAUUUAGUGUGUAGCAGCCACAGAGAGGCCUCCCCAAGGAUUCUGAUACUUGUGAGUUUCCUGAAACCUCUGCUUGGUGGAUGAGAAACAGAGAAUGCCUUAAAGUGUAAGACUCCUGAAAACCACGCUUCUCCAGAACCCUUUCUUCCUCUGUGGAGACAGCCUUCUCGGACGAUAGUCCUCAGCUUGGCUCAAAUUCCGAUAAAACAAGUUACUCUGAGCUUGUGGGAUUGGUGGGUUGAAUCUGGAGGACUGACUUCUCAAAAUGCCACGAAAAUGGCAGAAAAGGAAUUUUUAAGGUCAAAUGAAAAGACGAAGAGAAGUAGAAGGAGCAACAGCAGAGAAGAGAGCACUAGUGCCCCCUCUUGGAAGCCGGAAACUUGGAUGGAGGGGAGCAAGCUGGCCCAGCAGAGCCCAGGGACCCUGGACAGAAGUGCAGGCACCCGAGUUGGGGACGGGCAGGCGGAAGUGUAGCAGCAGUUGUCCGCUCUGACCCUGAAACGGAGCAGCUGUGGACCCUGGACCCCAUCCAACUCCAUCCAGAACUGCCGCCCUCCAACUCCUGCAGAGCCUGAGGGAUCAUUCUGGAAAAAAUGGAAGCCAAGAAACUCUGGGCUCAGGGAAAUGGUCACAGCAGUGUAAGGCAGAGGACCAGAAACAGGGGUCAGGGAGAAGUCUCCCCUGAAGGGUGGGGACCUCCUUCCCAGCCCUGAGAGUUACUGUGCCCCACCUACUCCAUCGUGCAUGUGCAGCCAGAGUGUCUUCUAAAGAACACCUGAAUGAUGGAAGAAAUGAUCCAUAUUCAAGGAUAGGAAGUAUCAGGAUUAUAAAAAUAUCAGUUCUAUCCAAAGCAGCCUAUAGAUUCGGUUCCCUUGCUGUCAAAAUCCCAGCUGGCUUUUCGAGGAACUUGACGAGAGGUUACCUUGUAAUUCACUUUCCUAUUUAAG